rnacentral:rRNA from 1 species
GACGAACGCUGGCGGCGUGCUUAACACAUGCAAGUCGAACGGGCCUGUCUUCUUUUUUGGGGGGUGGGUUGAGUGGCGAACGGGUGAGUAUCACGUGAGUAACCUGCCCUUCGGUCCUGGAUAACCGCUUGAAAGGGCGGCUAAUACGGGGUGGUCCGGUUGGUCCGCAUGGGCUGGUCGGGAUAGAUUCACUGUUUUUGGUGUUUCGGCGGGGGAUGGGCUCGCGGCCUAUCAGCUUGUUGGUGGGGGGAUGGCCUACCAAGGCGGUGACGGGUAGCCGGCCUGAGAGGGUGGGCGGCCACACUGGGACUGAGAUACGGCCCAGACUCCUGCGGGAGGCAGCAGUGGGGGGUAUUGCACAAUGGGCGGAAGCCUGAUGCAGCGACGUCGCGUGAGGGAUGGAGGCCUUCGGGUUGUGAACCUCUGUUUCCGGUGGUGAAGGCCCUGUCCGUGUGGUGGGGUUGACGGUAGCCGGGGAUGAAGCGCCGGCUAACUACGUG